rnacentral:lncRNA from 1 species
UCAAAGUUUGUUUUGGAUGACUUGGAUUUUAUGAAAUAAAAUAGGAUUUAUGUUAUGGAUGAUUUCAAGAGUUUUGUAAUAUAUCUAUAGGUGAAAUUUUGUAGGUUAGUGGUCAUAGUUGUGUUCAAUAUGUAUUGUAAAUUUGAGCUCGAUCUAAUAGUUGAAUUGAGGGUUAUUGAGGAUUAACUAAGUCAAGGUCUCAGAAAGUAGAAUUUUAGGUCUAGUAAGGGUUUUUCAGAUUUCUUGAAAUCUACUAAUUGGACUAGUUGGAUUGGAGUAAAACUUAUGUAAGAGGAUAUUAGACUUAUUUUUCUAUAUUUAUGAAAGUUUUGAGAUCAAUUGAACGGUGAAAAGAAGAGAUAUUGGCUCUAGAAGAUUGGCAUUAAGAUUGGAGAAGGUAGCCAGCCAAUAUCCAAGCACGUUUUUGAGAAUAUCAUCUAUUUGGUUAUUUCGAUCCUUUUCAAAUUAUUUGUGCUUGUUUUCAACUUAGUUUUUAAGAAGUGUGCAAAAUUUGAGUUAAGAUCAAUGGGUCAUUCAUUAGUUAUUGAGGUUUGAAACUGUUGUGGAAAUUACUAGGAUUUGAUUGGGGUUUGGUUUAGGAUUUGUUUAGGAUUAGGAUUUGAUUUAGGAUUUAGAGUUUGGUUAGGAUUUGAUUUAGGGUUAGAGUUUGGUUAGGAUUUGAUUUAGGAUUUAGGAUUUGAUUUAGGAUUUGGUUAAGAUUUGAUUUAAGAUUUGUUUAGGGUUUAGGAUUUGGUUUAGGGUUUGGUUGGGAUUUGAUUUAGGAUUUAGGAUUUGAUUUAGGAUUUGGUUUAGGUUUAGAGUUUGGUUAAGGUUUGAUUUAGGAUUUAGGAUUUGGUUUAAGAUUUGGUUAAGGUUUGAUUUAAGUUUUGGUUUAGAAUUUGGUUGGGAUUUAGUUUAAGGUUUGUUUAGGAUUUGGUUUAGGAUUUAGGAUUUUAUUAGAGUUUGGUUUAAGAUUUAGAGUUUGAUUUAAGAUUUAAGGUUUGAUUUAUGAUUUAAGGUUUGAUUUAGGGUUUAAAAUUUUAUUAUGGUUUGUUUAGGUUUUAAGAUUUAAUUAUUUUUGGCCUAAAGUUUGAAUGAAGUCCAAUAGGAUUUUAACUAGAAUUAAAUUAAGAUUGAAUUGAGAUGUAUUUGAGAUAUAUUUGUGAUAAUUCUAAUAUUUCUUUUAGAUUUCUUAUUAUUUCUUUGAAAUUUCUUUGAGGUUUCU